AAAAAAAAAAAAUCUUUUUAAAGACUUAAAAGAAUCAUUUCUAAAGCGAUUCGGUACAAUUGAUUUUGUCUUCUAUUAAAAAAAAAUUAUUUUUUAUUAUAUGUUUUUUAAUAAAAGAUUAAUAUUUGUUAGUGAAAAAACUUACAAGAUAAUAUAAUUGCAAGAUUACAAUUGAAAAUAAAAUGAAGAAAUUAAUCUCUUCGGGCUGAGGCGCGGAUAUCUCGCUCUCUUUAAGGAGAUUCAAGCCCACUGCAACAAAUGUUUUCACCGGUCCAGCAGUAGUACUCUUUGACUUGUCUCCUCCAGGAUACAACAGCCUUCGCAAAGUAUAACUCAAAAACUCUGGACAAGAGUUGAGUCUAAAGCUUCACAGAAAAGAACACCUCCCUUCAACUAAUUAGAACUCUCUUUUAGACUAACUCUUUUACUCUUUGUUUUCUCUUGUGUUUUGUGUGUCUUCCAAACCAAAUAAAGACCACCACUAUUUAUAUUACAAGAAGUCUUCCAAGCAAUGAAUAGGAAGAUAAUGGAAGUAGUAAAUAAUGAAGAUAAUGAUUUUAGGAGUUUCAUAGGUCACAAUAGGAGUUACAUAUGUUACAAAGAGUAAUGGAGGAAUCAAGAAUGAAAUAAAGUGAUGGACAACCAAUGCUAAUGAAUGAUGUAAAAGUUAUCCAUUCCAAUAUUUAUUGAAAUGUUUUUAUUUCACAAUGAAUUCAAUCAAUAAAGCCAAAAAUAAUGGAAUUACAUGGCUAUCAAGUCAAAGAUGUAUAGCAUGAUUAAAUCGAUAGUUUAAAACACAAAUAUCUACCAAUCAUCAUUUUUAUAACUCUAAAAUAAAACAAUUUAAUAUAUUAAAUAUUAAUAUUAAAAUACUAAUAACCUAACAAUAUUUUACGUAUAAGAGAUUUCAAAUAACGCAUACGAAAUCCAGAAAAUAUAAAAUUUUCCUCCUUCCUCUCUAAGAUGAGUUCAAUAAUUGGAAGUGCAAAAGUCUAAGCUAUUAAGAAAUAAUAAAUUAGCCCGAUCUUUAUCUCUUUUCCUUUUCUAAAUGAGCUGCCUUUUUGUAAAAAGUUCAUAGAAAUGAUUGUAAGCACAAUAUUGUAUUUUAUAUUAUAAAUAGAUCUGAAAAUAUUUCAAAUUUCAUAGCAAGAAAAAUCAAUUAGUUACACGUUUAAUAAUACUAUAUCAUUAUUUCUUUCGGUAAACUAAACCUUACUUUCAGAUUAGUUGGCACUACUAAAAGAGUUCUUUUUAUUUUAAACGUACGUUUGUGUACGUAGAUAUGCAAGGUAAAAAUAGAAUGCGUCAUAUAUGUAAUAACAAAAGAUACUGCCAAAUAAUAAUAAAAAAAUUACGGAAUUAUCACUUAAAAGUUUAUAAUUACAAAAAUUUCUCAAAUCGAUACAUUGGUUCGGAUAUAUUAAUGGCCAAAAAAAAAAAUCAAAGCAAUGAUACAUUAAAGAAAUGGUCGAAUACAUGCGCCGAUACAUAUAAAAGAGGAUCAAAUACAUUAAUGGAGAAUUUAAACAUAUUAAUGACUAAAAAAUCAAAAUGCUAAUACAUCAAAAAAAGUCGAAUAGAUUAAUGAAGUGUUGAAUACAUUAAUGACAUUUUUGAAUUAAAAGAAAAAUGAGAGAUUUUAUUUGUAAAACCUAUAGAAAAUAAUGAUAAUAAGUAAAAUAAAAGGUGAGAUUUCUAUAAUUAUUAUGUUAUUAUCCUAGCCAAAUCACACCUGAUGUUCGAUGUAAAAAUGAAUAGAACAUCAAUUCUAAUAAAGUCAUAAAAAAAAAAUCAUAAAUUCAUUAAUUUCAUAAAAAUGGUUUAAUUUUUAUAAUAUUAUAGUCAGUUAAGAUUUUAAAAAUCACUUUUAAGAAGACAGAAAUCAAGAAAGGUAAAGAGCAAUUAACUCGUGUUUUCCUAUUCAUGGCAUGCAUUGGUGGUUCAAUUAUUAUUACUUGAAGUAGGUAAAAUGUUGAGAUUACACACUGAGAAAUAAUAUCAAAAGAAUUGGUUUUCGAUCCUAUUAGCCUUUCUGUUUCUAUUUACUUGUCAAAUAUUUUUUAAUUUAAUUUUUUUAUUUAUAAAAAAAAAGAUCGUUAAACGAUUUUAAGAAAACUGAUGUGUGUGUGUGUAUAUAUAUAUAUAUAUAUAUAUAAAAUCACGCGAAAAAACAUAAUAAUAAUUAUAACUGAAUCUUAAACUAAAUCAAUGAAAUAUUUAAAUCUUUAAAUAUUUCAUUUUAAAACUUAGAUAUAUGAAAAAACUUAUAUAGGUACACAUAAAUUUUAAAUACAAUAUUUGUUUUAAUUUCCCCAAGUUAGAAUAGAGUGCAGGCAUAUGUAUAAUAUUGAAUAAAUUGAAGAAAUAGUUAUCGUUUGGACGAAUGUGUCAAUUUAGAUCGAAUAAUCACAAUAAGCCCUGCUGGAGUAUUAUAUGUUACUAUAUAAAAUAAUACUGUGGUUUGAAAAUAACCAAUGCGUAAUACUACAUAGUGCUUUAUGGACGCACAUGAGCCUAGCAUAAAUAAAUGAAAUUAAAUAAUAUACGACAAUAAUGUAAAGAAUAUUAAUAAGAACUUCUUAAACUUAGAUUAAAAAUUAAGAGUAGUAAAAUUAGAUAUAUUUAAAUUUAAUUAAUUGAGUGAAAAAAUAUUUUUAAGACUAUUAAUAAUUUAAAAAAUUAAAAAUAAUAAAAUUGAAGGUUUUUCUCAUCUUUAUAUACUAAACAAUAUAUAUGUUAGUACCAUUACAUCAGUGUACCUAGUGUAAUGACGAGCGCAAGCGCAUUUGCUCGCGUCAUAGAUGCUUCCUCAAUUUUUCCACGAGAAACGUACUUAUCUGACUUGUAUUAGUUGAUUAUUUUUUAUUUUACACAAUAUUUAAAAAAUUGUAUUAUUUUCAUGUUUAUGAUAAUUUUAUAAUAUAAAAUAAAAAAUAAUAAACUAAUAUGGUACGAAUUAAGUCGCUCCGGAAGGAAGAAAAGAACCACAUUAUUUGGUUACCUAAAGAUUUCCCUCGUCACAUCUCAACAUCCAUUGCUUCUCUUAAUUCAAACAUACAUGCCUGUCUAUAUGCUAAGCUUUUAUCUUCUUUUUCUCAAUAUAUAUGGUGUACAUACACCUCCAGUUUUGCUCAUUAAUUUCUUCAUUCCCCAAAAUUCUGUGAGUCAUCAAAAUGCAAAAUCCAGAAGAUCACCACUCUGACAGGGAGAUCAUUAGUCCCUCCUACACCACCAAAUCUAACGAUGACAAGUACGUCGAAGUCACCCUUGAUAUCCGCGAUGACACCGUGGCAGUCCACAGUGUCAAAAAUGCCACUAAGACUAAAGCAGAGGAAGCAGAGAUUGAAGCACUGGGCAAAAACCUGCAGAAAAAGCGCAGCUUUGGGGCCACAAUCGUAAGAAAUCUUUCCAAGCGUUUAAGAAGCCAACCGCAUCCUCCUCGGACAAUUGAUAGGAGUUCAACAGCAGCUCAGAAUGUUCUCAAAGGCUUCAAAUUUAUCAGUAGGACUGAUGGUGGCUCUGGAUGGGACACCGUCCAACAGCGAUUCGACGAGCUUACUGCCAACUCAGAUAGCUUACUACCUAAAGCAAAAUUUGGAGAAUGCAUAGGUAAAAGGAUCCGAGUUUUAACUGACUGUGUAAAAGUAAUUUACAUCAUCAAGUUACCUAAAAACAUGUAAUUAUGUAAAUAAUUUACACGUCGUAUUUCACUGGAUAUGUUGUUGUUUGUUGAUUUUCAAUGAUAGGUAUGAACAAGGAAUCUGAGGGAUUUGCAUUAGAGCUUUUUGAUGCGUUAGCUCGGAGGAGAAAUAUGACAAGUGGUUGCAUCAGCAAAGAACAGCUUAAAGAGUUUUGGGAACAAAUUGCUAACCAAAGCUUUGAUUCCCGCCUUCAAACCUUUUUUGACAUGUAAGUAAUAAAAUAUUAUCAUCACAUCUUUUGAUCGAUUAGUUGUUCAAUCAAAUCAAUUGAUUUUUGUGAGGGAUUUAAUGCAGGGUUGAUAAAGAUGCAGAUGGUAGACUUACAGAAGAAGAAGUCAGAGAGGUAUUUGUGAUUCCAUAUAUUUAUCUGUCUUAUCUAGUAAAUACAAUGAUCUUUUGGGUGUGCGAAUAAAUUUCCACAUGAAAAGUUGAAAAAAACAAAUAUAUCCUGGCAGAUUAUUUGCCUAAGCGCAUCAGCUAACAAGCUAUCAAAUAUCCAAAAACAAGCAGCAGAAUACGCAGCGUUGAUCAUGGAAGAGUUGGAUCGCGAACGCAAAGGAUACAUCAUGGUUAGACUAGUUUUAUUUCAUGUUCAAUGAUCUCAAUUUGAAAAUAAAUAUCGUUUUAACUAUUUAUCAUCUGAUUCGAUUUGACAGCUUGAGAACUUAAAAAUGCUUUUAUUACAAGCUCCAAUUCAAUCAGAUGGAGGAAAAGGCUUGCAUAGGAAAUUAAGUCAUAUGCUAAGCAUGAAGCUUAAGCCAACAUUGGAGACUAAUCCCAUUAAAAGAUGGUAUAACAAUUUGACGUACUUUUUGUUAGACAAUUGGCGAAGAGUUUGGGUACUGUUAUUAUGGAUUAGUGUGAUGGCUGGACUAUUUGGUUACAAAUAUGUCCAGUACAGAAACAAAGCAGCAUUUGAUGUCAUGGGUCAUUGCGUUUGUGUGGCGAAAGGGGCUGCCGAGGUACUUAAGCUAAACAUGGCACUGAUUUUACUCCCAGUCUGCAGAAACACUAUCACUUGGCUUCGAAACAAGACUAAAUUAGGUGGUGCUGUUCCCUUUGAUGAUAACAUCAAUUUUCACAAAGUAAGCUAUUCUUCCAAUUUAAGCUGAUUCUCACCUUGCUAGGAGGGUGCUGUAUGUGUUUACUUCUUUAUGUUUUGAUACCUCUGAAUGAAAAUCCUGAUUCUGCCACUGAUUUUAGACCGAUUAUGUGACAAACUUACACAAGAAAAACUAGAUAUGGAAUAAAUUGUUGUUUUUAUCUCUCCCUUUGUAUAGAUGGUGGCAGGGGCAAUUGGACUUGCUGUUGGAAUACACAUACUUGCUCAUAUGACCUGUGAUUUUCCUCGGCUACUAAAUGCUAGCCCGGAAAAGUAUAAACCAAUGAAGCCAUACUUUGGAGAUCAACCAAGAAACUAUUGGCAUUUUGUGAAGGGAGUAGAAGGAGUGUCCGGGAUCAUAAUGGUGGUUUUGAUGUCAAUAGCUUUCACUCUAGCAAGCCAACGAUUUAGAAGGAACAAAAUUCGUUUACCAAGACCAUUGAACAAGCUCACAGGUUUCAAUGCCUUCUGGUACUCCCAUCACCUCUUUGUCAUUGUCUAUUCUCUCCUCAUAGUCCAUGGUAUCGAGCUUUACUUAACCAAAGAAUGGUACAAGAAGACGGUCAGUCUAUACAUUUGUGGAAUCAACAAUAAUUUCUUAAUGAGUUUAACUUUUAUACACUCACAACUAUUAAAUCAACUUACAAUGCGAGCGUAUACUGGCAGACAUGGAUGUACUUGGCUAUACCAAUCAUACUUUAUUCUGGUGAAAGAUUACUAAGGGCAUUCAGGUCAAGCGUCAAGGAUGUUAAAAUAUUAAAAGUAAGUUGAGUCCAAAUCUAUACAUAUAAUUUAGUUAUAAUUCUUGAUAAUAUCAAGGUUGUUGAGACAAAUGAUAGAUUUGCACUUAAUAUGGAGCUAGGUGGCUAUGUAUCCUGGAAAUGUGUUGACACUUCAAAUGUCAAAGCCACAGGGCUUCAAUUAUAAAAGUGGGCAAUACAUGUUUGUCAACUGUGCUGCAGUUUCACCAUUUGAAUGGUAGGUGAUGCUUAAUAAAUAAAUUACUACUAAUUAAGUGUCACAUGUGUUUCUUAAUUGUGUUAUUAAUUGUUCUUUUUUCUUUUUCUUGAAUAAAUUUUCUUAAAAUAUGAAUUUCAAAUCUUGAAAAUAAGAUAUGUUAUCUAUUACAACAGAUAAAAAUUGUCUGAUGGUGUAAAAAUAUGUUAACUGAAUUACAUUGAUUGUGCAAAAGACACGAUAUGAAUCUCAUUCACUCUCAAUCACUAAUUAGAUGACGAGGCGUUUGACUAUCGUAAAAGAGUCCAAGUACAUUUAGUCUCAUGUUUACCUGUAUUUGGUUGGAUUUCUUUGUUUUUAACUCGAUACACGUACUGUUCUUGUGACUUGGCAAAUAUUAUAUAUAUUACCAGGCACCCAUUUUCUAUAACUUCAGCGCCUGGAGAUGAGUAUCUAAGUGUACAUAUUCGAACUGUUGGUGAUUGGACUACAAAACUCAGAGAUGUUUUCUCAGAGGUAAGCAUUAUUAAAGAAAUGUUUCCACUAUUUUUAAUACUCAAUUAUUGAACUUUUUCUUAAUCAUAUCCAUACAUUUUUUACAUUAUUAUAUAUGCGUGCCAGCCAUCACAAACAGGAAGAAGUGGACUCGUUAAAGCCGCCUACAUGCAAGACAAUAUAAAGUGAGUCUUUAUUCCAUUAUUAUAAUACAGUGCCCCCAAUGACACUUAAAAAAAAAUGAUUCACUUUAACAGCGCAUUAGGUAGUUUAACCUUCAUUUUCAUAUAAUUUGGGUGAGGAAUAAAAGUAAAUAAUGAUACCAUAAAUUUUUUAUAUUUUGUUUGAUUAUUGUGUUUGAAAUAAUUUAUUUUAUCAUUUAUAUCAUACGUGUAUGAUAUGACAGAAAUUUUUUUUCUUUUUUACCAUAAAAAUUGGAAAACCUUUUCCAUUACUUAUAAAUGGAAAUAAUUUUUCUUUACAAAUAUUCCAACUCUAAACAAUGUCAUUUGCUCUAAUUAACAUUUUAAUACUUAAAUUUUUCAUCAAACCAUUGUUUAAUUUUUCUAAAUUAUUUCAAAUUUUUUUCCAUGUACUGGAAAAUUAGUUAUUCCCUUCGUCCUUUUUACAUUUCAUUUUUAGGUCCUCUAGAAAAGAAUGUCACGUUAUUAUAGUAAGAAAAAAGAUUAUUUUAAAAUUUUUCUUUUACCUUUAAUGAAAUAAUUAGCGAUCACACAAAUAUUUAAGAAUUAUUUCGACAACAAGUUUCAUUUUUUUUUAAAAAAAAUACCAUUACCAAUGAGUUAAAAGAAUAAACGAGUACAUUAGUAAUGCUAGCAUAUAUUGCAUAAAAAAAUUUAUUUAUAAAGAUACGCUCCACAAUAAUGAUAUUAUGAAAAAAGAUGUAAAAAAAGGUUUUGAGGGGCAAUAAGUACUUAUGCAUGCAUUCAAAAUGAUUGCAUUAUUAAUACUAUGAGUUUUCAUGUAUUAGUAAUAUACGGCUCAAUAUACAAUAGAUAUACAUAGGUUAAAAAAGUGCACUAAACAAGGUGCUAUUAAUACACAGAGUUAAUACAUGCAUUAUUUUUUCUAAUACACUCUAUCAGACGAUCGUAAAACUACUAACAAAGCUGAUUAUAUAUGAUGACGUUUAAUUAUUUCAGUUAUUACCCAAAAGUGUUAAUUGAUGGACCAUAUGGAGCACCAGCACAAGACUAUAAGGAAUAUGAGGUGCUUUUGUUGGUAGGUUUAGGAAUUGGAGCCACCCCUAUGAUAAGUAUUGUUAAAGACAUAGUGAACAACAUGAAGGAAGAAGAGUAUGAUCAUGAUUUGGAGAGCACAGAACAAAAGAAAAAAUCAGGAUCAGGAUCAAACUUCAAGAGAGUAUAUUUUUAUUGGGUUACUAGAGAACAAGGUUCAUUUGAUUGGUUCAAGGGUUUAAUGAAUGAGUUAGCUGAAAUGGAUUGUGCUGAAAUAAUCGAGAUGCAUAAUUAUUGUACAAGUGUUUAUGAAGAAGGUGAUGCUCGAUCUGCUCUCAUCGCGAUGCUUCAAUCCAUCAAUCAUGCUAAAAAUGGUGUAGACAUUGUAUCUGGAACAAGAGUUAAGACUCAUUUUGCUAGACCUAAUUGGAGAGAUGUCUACAAACGCAUUGCUCUUAAUCAUACUGAUGCAAGAGUUGGUAUGUACCUGAGACUUCCUAUAAUUUUAAGAAUUUCAAUUAUAUGCAUAAUAGUAAACACACACACGUUCUUUAAUUUGGCCUCAGCUGAUAUAGACAUAACACAUAAAUAUGACUCUUAACUUGGCGUCACUUGACAAUUACGAUCUUGAACUUUACAUAUAUAUGAGCAGACACUUAGACUUGUAUAUAAUUAAACAAAUUGACAUAUUUAUCUUACAUGGCACUCUACAUGGAAGAUUUGUGUCCUACGUGUAUCAUGCCAUGUAGGAAAUGUAUGUGUAUUUGUUCAAUUUUAUAUAAAUUUAAGUGUAUACUUGUGUACAUCAAAGUUAAGGGUCAUAGUUAUCAACUGAUAUCAAAAUUAAAAGUCAUAUUUAUGUCAUUUCAAAUUUAAAUCGUAUAAAUAAACACUUGAACUUAUAUAAAAUUAAAUGGUCGCUCUUUUAAAAUUUGAAGGAGUUUUCUACUGUGGGGCACCAGCACUGACGAAACAGCUUGGACAACUGGCCUUAGAUUUUUCCCACAAGACAUCAACAAAGUUUGAUUUCCAUAAAGAAAACUUUUGACCAAUCAUGGACUAGCAAAGGAUCAAACCAAACAGAUAACAACCAUUUUUUUUUAUAAAGAAGCAUAUAUAUCCACUACUUUCUUUUUUUUUUUUUUUAUAGAAAAUCUUGUUGAUUUUGUUAAUAGUUGGGUUUUGUAUUGUUAUACGAAAAGCAAUUAUUUUUGUGCAGCUCCACCCACCAGUACUGGAUUGGAUUACCAAUUCAAAUAAUCCUUUUAUUUUAAUUUGUUCCUUUUGUAAAGGAUAUAUCUAUGUUGAUUUAUGUUAAACGAUAUUAAAUGUCCACAGUAAUAAUUUUUGUGAUAUAUUACACUUUAUUAUGAAUUUUUGCUUACUUCCGCUGUAUCAUUAUGUGGGAUUUUUUAUUUUUUAAAAGUUAAACAGUUUAAAUUUGAUUAAAAAAAUUUUAAAAUGAAAUUUAAAGUAUAUUUAUAAGUUAUAUAAAAAAAGCUAUAAAUCAUAAUAAUUGAUAAUUUAAAGUAUUUAAAUGAUAUAUGAAUAAUUUAAUGUCAAAAUAAACCUAUUUUGAAUUUCAAAAUUUAAAAAAUAGUCAACAUAUAAAACAGAGACGAAAUAAGAUUGUAUAAAAAUUUGGUACAUUUUUUUAAUAUGAUUUUUACAACUUCUAGUAUUUUUAUAUUUAGAGUUAAAAUACAGUUUAAAAAUUAAAAUCACAUGUCUAAACAAAAAAUUUAAUUUCAUCUUAUGUUAUUUUAUAUCAUAAUGUUAUCUCACGUGAUCAAACGGACGCUAAAAUUACACCGGCCGAAAAGAGAAAGUAAAAUUUUAUAAAUUUUUAGCUAGCACCGCAAGAACAAACGUAUGAAUCCACACACAUCAGUGAAAAGAACGGUGUCGUCCUCAUGGCUAAUUACGUGGCGAGCUGGCCUUUCGACUUUUGUCACCGCUGAAUUUUUUAUUUUUUAUUUAUUUUUGUUUACAUUGUUAAUUGCUACGUCCAAUUGUUCCCCCAAAAAAAAUAUUUUUUGCUACUCCGAUUUCUGCAUCAUCAUCCCCAUUAGAAUAUUUGGUUUUUCCAGCAUUUUCCCACAAAUAUGGUACACUCUUCCUCUUCUCCCUGUUCUUUUUUUUUUUUUUAAUCAUCUCUUGCUUAAUUCAAAAUUGUGUUUCUGCUGUUCCAUUUUGUUUUAAUAGUGUUUACGUACAGUACUUUUUACAUCAUUACCAAUUUAACAUGAUAGUUUUGUUAACGCACUGAUUACUACUGUAUUAGAUGCAACUCGUUGUUUAAUUUCCGCUGCAAGCUAGUUAGUUGUGCCCAGGCGUAGUAAAAUCAAACUCAAUCCGUCCGAUCCAACCCAAUCCAUUUAGGUUUCGGUUGCUUGUUUAACUCAAUCCGUUUUAUUAUAUUAAAAAUUGAAUCGACACGUAACGCAAAAUUGAUUUUUGAAAAAUUUUAUCAAAAUAUUUUUUAUUUUUAUUUUAUAUGUUAUAUAUAGAUAGAAUAAAGAAAAAUAAUAAUUUUAUUAGGUAUUAACAACUUAUAAAAUAACAAAUAAAGUUAUUUAAAAUUUAGUAAGAGUUGAGCGGGUCAGAUUACGAUUACUAACCUGUUACCUCACCCAUUUUGGCCCAAGCAAAUUUGGGUUGGGUUGGGCCUGACCCGUUUAUUGUGUUGACUGAUCCGUCCAAAUUUAGUCCAAUCCAUGCGAUUGUCCCCACUAGUUAUGCAUGCGAGUUGUGUGAGGCUUUAAAAUUUAAGCCUGUAGAGAAGUAGUAACUUUUUUAGGACUAGACAAGUAGGGUAGGUGUCACCCGCAACAAAUAAUAAUAUAAUUGUCGUUGUAUUAAUUUAGUGGUAAUAAUAAAUAUGAGUAUUUAUAGUCAGAACACUAUAUGAAUGGUAUCAACUUAAUUGACACAAAAUGUAGUGCGUGUGAGAUGAGAUGCAAAAUUAUCGUUUUCGCGCUUGGAUAAUUAGUAUAGGUUUGAAAUUGCUGAAUAUAGUUUAGUACAUUAAGAACUGAAAUGUCAGAGUAGAAGCUGAAGAUUUUUAGGGUAUGUUUACUGUUUGGUAUGAAGAAAUAUGUUUUUCAAGAAAAUAGUUUUUUUUUUAGGAAAUUAAUGUUUGUUUGUUUGUUUGUUUUACUUAUUUUUUGGUGUUUGGGGAGUAAGGUGUAAUGCAGCCAAAUGCCAUGAUCUGAUUGAAGCUGAAAAUGUGAUUAGUGACAAAAUGGUUAAUUUGUGUAUCAUCUUUAAUCAUCAAAGCUAUGAAACUAACAUUUGUAAAGCAGGUGAGAAUUUAUAGAAUGUUCUACAAAAUUUUACCACAGAGCACCCGGGUUUAUUCCCGGGACUUCACCUCAAGGUAGUACAUUCGAAUUCGUAAUCCAGGACAAAGAUAGUAUUCUUUGUUAUUUGUUUGCUACUUUCUGUUUGAUAAUCUGUAGUCAUUGCUCAGGACAGUGGGAAAUUAGGGCCUAAAAACUGUGGCGAACACUUGGAACAAGCCAAAAAUGAGUUUCCGGUAUGUAAAUGUGGAUUCGACAUGUUGGAUGCUGGCUUUUUCAAUGACUGUAAGGUACUGUGAUGGAGUUAAAUUCACUAAACAAUUGUUAGCUGUGUUGCACGGAUUAUUCAUAAUUGUCGAGUGUUGUGUUUUGGAUCCUCCAAAAGUAGCACAUUUUUUUGGAGGAUCUGACAUCGAGUGCUCCCAAUUGGAAAACUGAGUAAGGCUAUUUUUGUGUCUGGUGCUGAUUCUUUCUUUUCAGAAGCUUGAAAUACAGAAGGGCGCAAAAGAUUUUAACAUUCCUAUAAUAAGAUCGAACCGGAAGUUAGUUGCUACUGAGAAUGGAGGUUUGCGUGACCCGUCUCCUUUAGUUUUCAAUUCUGCAUGGAAAUCCCAGGAAGCAAAGCGAGUAACGGACAAGUUCAAUUAUUCUGAAUGCUCUGGCAUUCAAAGGCCGAAAAAUGAUGAGGAUAUUGCUUUCAUGAGUGUACGUGCACCCUAAAUAGCCAUGCUAACGUAACCGUGUUGCACCACUGAUUCCUAGUUUAAUUUUAUUAUUUGAAAUUGUUUAUCAGGUUCUUGAACUCGGGCAACUUUUCAAGGAAAAAUUGAUUACAUCCGAGGAACUCACUCGAAUUUUUCUGAACAGAUUAAAAAGGUAUGGUGAAUGAAUGAUUUGCUUUUGUUUAUCUCAUUUGCAUGCUAUUGAAUAAUUUUAUUCUGAAAAUGAUGUGUUAUGCCGGAGCUCGCAGGUACGGCCCUGUCCUUGAAUCUGUUAUCACAAUUACUGAAGAAUUAGCAUUUCAGCAAGCAAAGAGGCUGAUCAAGUGCUUGCAAAAGGAAAAUAUUUGGGUAGAAGUCCACCUUCCUCUCUUCCCCUUAGUCCCCUUCCGCGUCCUCUCCACAUUUUAGUUUUUGGAUGUCACAGAAAAUCUUCUAACAUUUGUUUAUAUGGAGUGAAGUGUCUGGAGAGAGAUGAUAUUGAAAUUUCAGUUUGAAUGACCAUUCUGUUCUUUAUAGGUCCUCUUCAUGGGAUCCCAUAUGGUCUAAAGGACAUUAUUGCAGUACCAGAUUAUCCCACAACAUGGGGUUCCAAGUCUUUCAAAGAUCAAGUUAUUGAUGUCGAAGCUUGGGUUUAUAAGAGGUACUUACAAAUCACUACAACUAGAAGGCAUGCCGAUCUUGCCACCAACAAACCUUUGACUUUGGCUGUGAAAAGCAAUCAAUAAAUGUCGAGGCCACUCCCGAAGCCAGCCUAUAUUGUACAUAUGUUUGUAUAAUAAUUUGUAGAUACGGUUGAUGCAGGCUGAAAUCUGCUGGUGCAAUUCUUGUUGCAAAGUUGGUCUCUGGUUCUUUAGCUUAUGACGAUAUCUGGUUCGGUGGUAGAACAAGAAACCCCUGGAAUAUCGAAGAAUUUUCUACUGGUUCAUCAGCAGGGCCGGCUUCCAGCACCUCAGCAGGUACCUUGAGUUAGCUUUCUCUAAUACUCCCUCAGUCCCAAUUUAAGUUUCUUAGUACCUACAUCUGUUUUGUUAUCUGCACGGGUGAAAGAAUGAAUUUUUAUCAACCUUUAGCCAUUUACUGAUCCAAAUGAAUGGAAUCUAACAGAUAUAUCAUACUAUGCCCAGUUCUUAAAUUGGUUCUAUACAUAUGACCAGCAACAAGAAAAAUAAAUGCAGUAUCUAAAUAGUGAUACGGAAGAUGAGUCAAUCAUUACUUCGUUUUUUCUUCUUCUAAUAGAAUACUCUGAGAAGAGAUAGAGUGGGAGGUACCGAAUAAGAUUAUUUGGCAAGUAUAUUGAUCUACAAUGAUGUCUUCACACUGCAGGUCUAGUUCCAUUUGCAAUUGGUUCAGAAACUGUUGGGUCUAUCACCUACCCAGCUACUAGGUGUGGUGUUACUGCAUUGCGGCCCACUUUUGGAGCUGUUGGUCGUACUGGAGUUAUGAGCAUAUCGGAAAGCUUGGUAUCGUUCCUCUUCCACAAAAUUUAAUUCCUUUUGUAUGUAUUUUUAUCUUUUACUGUAGAGGUGCUGAAACUUGAAUCUGGCUGGUCAUUAGGAUAAACUGGGCCCUCUCUGCAGAACUGCUGCAGAUUGUGCGGUUGUUCUCGAUGUCAUCCGAGGAAAGGAUCCAGAUGAUCUUUCGUCCAGGGACAUCAUGUUAGGUGAUCCAUUUUCAGUUGAUAUUACAAAACUCACUGUUGGGUAUCUCGAAGACGCUGACAAGGAAGUAAGUGAUUGUACAACAUUACCAGAAAUUCACUAUGCAAAUUAGAUUCUUUAUCCUCUUUGAAAGCCCGAAUUAACUAGACUGUUUAAUUAUGUCAAUUACAGGUUGUUGGUGUACUUAGAUCAAAGGGAGUGAAUAUGGUUCCAUUUAAUCUGGAUUACACUGUUGAUAGUGCUCAAGGUAUUGUUAGCUUCACUAUGGAUGUUGACAUGCUAGCUCAUUUUGACGAGUGGCAGCGCUCAAACCAGGAUGAUGAAUUUGAAGCUCAAGACCAAUGGCCUCUUGAACUUCGUCGUGCCCGUGUUAUAUCUGCUGUAGACUAUAUUCAGGUAUAUGUCACAAUCUAGAAUAUAUCGCUCUCUAGAUGUUAAAACACAUUGCCUCGGAUAGAGCCCGAUACACUUUACCGAUCAAAUAGCAUUAAAGGUGGAUGUACUUGACAGGCACAGAGAAGUCGAAGCAAAUUGAUUCAGGAAGUGAAAGAGAACUUCACAGUUGAUGCAUUUAUUGGAGAUUCAGGUGACUGGGAGAAAGUUUGUGUGGGCAAUCUUGUGGGUAUGCCAGUAGUGGUGGUUCCAACAGGUUUUAAGAAGAUAUCCAAUGCAUCGUCUGAUGAUACUCGCAGGAAGACAACAAUAACUACUGGCAUUUAUGCUCCUCCUGACCACGAUCAUGUUGUAAGGCUCUAAUCCUCUUAUCUUGUAUGUUUUGGAUAUAGGAAAAUUUAGAAUCCUAGAGUCUAGCUUGGUUUAAUUUUCUCAUAUGUAUAUAUGUGAACACUCACACAUGGUUCGAGGGGAAAGUAAUGUGUUCAGCUCAGAACCUGACUCCGUCCUCGUUGCUAGACUGAUGACCUUGAUUUUGUGUGUUCCUUCCUUUUAUGCGCAGGCUUUAGCAUUGGCAAUGGCGUAUCAGUCACUAACCAACCAUCACAAGCAGCGCCCUCCAAUUGACGACAUUGGGCCAAAUGAUUCAAUUCCAAACCCACCCACUUCCACUGUACCCGCAAGACAACUACGUGAUUACUAAUCUCUCAAGGGUAUUCAAUGUCACUCUGUGUUGUCCUUUUAACUUGUUAUUAUAGAUGUAUACCACUAGUUGUAGUAGUCAAAGCUGUGUUGGAUCGACAAAAAGGAAGAAAAUAGUUCUCUCGUUUUGUCUAUGCUGAAGGAUAUUCUUUUUUGGUAUAUUCGUUUCAUUUUGUAGCACUUAUAGUUUGGCUGUAUACCUCUUGCCAAUAGUUUGUGGUAGAUACCUCUCACUAAUUGUUUGUGCUAUGCAAAUUUCAAUUUCGAACCCUGGGUUGACGUUUCAAAUUGAAGAAAGGAUCAAGAACAGUAGUUGUAUGAUUGAUAAGCUAAAGGCAUCCAGGAGCUAUAUAAGCAACUUUAUCAAGACUUUUAGUUCAGGAACUAUGAAAGAACACCUAAACUAUAUGGAUCUGUCUAAAUCUACAUUGUCAAUACAUUUUUCUUGUUAAAAGAGGAAAAAUCCCAAAAAUUGGCGAAAUGUUUGCUCGGCUGGCCACAAGGCAAGAAGGGAUGAGAAAAUAAAACAGUAGUAAAGGGAAACAAAAGAAGAGCAUAACACCUAACUCAAAUAUCUAAGUCCUUCUAGCAGAAACAGUUCUCUGUUUCAGCAUCUCUAAUUUUCACGUCUAGUCCUCCUACGAGGAGCAGCGGCGUCCUCAUUCUGGUCUUCUUUCUUCUGCGUGGAUCCUUCCUUGUUUGAACUUGAUGUCUCUGCACCGUCAGUUUUCUUAGCCUUUCCAGUAGCUUUUACCUGCAAAAGCAACAAGUGGUUCUUUUAUCAAACAUACAUACUCAACAGACUCGACACAAGUUUCAUUUGUUUCCUAUUUCUUUGUGGGGGGCUGAGGCUGAGUUCAGACUUACGGGUUGCUGCUGUGUCCCACCAAAGAUGAGCUUCAAGAAAACUGUGAAAAUGAUAAUUAUGAUUGAAAUGACAGCACCAACUGUGAGAUUGGGCUGUUUCUCAGCCUUCUCAAGAAGAUCCUACAAGACAAGUUAUGUAUUAGUCAUGCGUACAAAAAUGUAACAACAUGCAAUGUCAAAACACCAGGUCACACUCACCAAUACUUUGGACCUGUGUUCGCCCAAGAAGGGAAUGUCAGCCACCUUGUAGAGGAGAUCAAGUACCAUUUUCUGCCAAGUGUUCCAAAUAGAUUUCAGAUCAAGUGAUGGAAUGAAAAGAAAAAUCAAGAACAAUGGGUUGUAUCUUGAAGAAAGUGUAAACAACUACCUGAAAUCCUUUCAGCCCACCAGCGCUUGCUGCUUCCUCGGCCUUUUGUUUCUCUUUCUCUAUGUCAAACUUGGGCUUCCAUGCAGUCAUCCUGUAUGAUUCUGCAACUUUCUCAUCACUUGCUAUCAAGAUAUUGUCAAAUAAUAUACCAUCUUGCAUUGUCCAGAUUUCAAUGCCAAUUGCUGCAAUAGGCUCGAAAUUGGGCCUGUCGAGUUUGAAGUAGUUGGGAUUUGGAAUAUCUCUUGGCUUCCAAACACCCUUGUAAUUGGGAUUCUCAAUCAGUGGAGCAUACCAUUUUCCAUUGUAUGCUGGAUUUCUCUUCAUUGGUCUUGUCCACUCCCCACACCCAGGGACUUCUUCACAUUUUGGGUUGUCAAUUUUGGGAGCCUCCCAUUCACCAUCUUCAUCGUCAACCCAAUCUUCAGGCUUUGUUGCCUCAGGAUCAUCGAUCUCUUCAGGCUCGUCAUCCAACCAUCCCUCAGGCUUCUCAGCAUCCUCAUCUUCAAUCUCCAUUGGUGCAUCCUCAUCCCAAUCAUCUGGUUUCGUAGCAUCUGGAUCUGGAAUUUUUUCCCUCUCAUCCCAGUCCUCAGGCUUCUUAUCAUCUGGGUCUGGAAUGGUCUCUGCUGGAAUAAGAGGUGGCUCCAUAUCAUAAUCUGAGAGUAAGUCAGCCUUCUUCUUCUGUUCCCCAUCAACUAAGAUUAACAACUCAUUGUUGGGUUUCAACACCGCAGUGUAAACAUGGGUUAGUUUGUCAGAAGGUACAGAUGGUGGAAACUUAAGGUGGUGUUCAAUGUACUCCCCGCUCUUAGGAUUCUUAUGUUUCAAGAUGAAAUGAAUUUUGUCUGUGGCUCCACAUCUAUCUGGUCCAAACAUUAUAGUAUAGGGAGAUUCAUUGCUGAAUUCCUUGGGAAUCCACCCUGCCUCCUGGGGGCGGAGGUAUUUAAGAUAAGCACCACCACAUUCAAGUCCUUCCUGGAGGCGAACUUCAUAUUGAAGAACCAUAGUUCCAUCAUUGAGGCUGACAACAUUGUCAAGCUCCUUGACAAUAGCAUAUUUUUUUGCCUUCUCACUCACAAGAAGCCCAUGGUCAUCAUGUCCCUCACUCUUGGCAUGUUUCCACACACCUGAGACACAAUUUGAACUCCAUAUGAACACUUGAAACUUUAACAAUCAAAGAUCGACUCAGCAUUAUAGAAAUAAAGACAUUACACAAUGUUAUAAGGCACACUCGAUGGUGAGAAAUUUAUUAUGAAUUAAAAUUGAGUUAGCAUUAUAGACAUAAAGAUAUCGCACAAAUAUCUAAGACUGGCUAAUAUGACAGACAAGCAAGGAAUUCUAUAUUGCUUCGAAACAAAUGGAUUUUGAGCCUUAUCUGUCACUGGGAACAGAGUUUUGCAGCAUAAACUCCAGGUUCAUUAUUUGGUGGGGUGGCAAAUAUACAGUACACUUUUGAAAAAUUAAUGUAUUUGAAUAAUGAUAUAACUCUUUAAGUUUUGUAAGCAUUGAACACAUCAAUCAGCAUAACUCUUUAAGUUUCUAUUUGAUAUUUUGGUUUUUUCUUCACUACCUCCACCCUCAGUCAAGGCUAAAAAUGAUGCAUAUCCAUAGAGUUGCUGUUUAAUUUCCUUACAAAUCAAUGAAUGAUGACAUGAAUCUGAAAGAUAUUCGCGGAUCAUAGUAGGAACAACGAGCAUAUACCAAUAUAGUAUAAGAAUUAACAGUCAAAGAGAAGAACAUAAACAGAUGAAAUGAACCUCGUCACCCUCAUUCAUCCGUCAAAAUUCAAAAUUAAUAUGCAAUUUUAAACAGAAAAAAAAGGAAAGAAGAACACCAAUUGAUCUCAUUUUAUGUUGCAUUAUGGAUGACUGCUUCUUUUGUAUAUACACACUUCCCUAAUCAUCGAAACUCAACAUCCAAAUUUUAAACUUCGGCAUAAUUUUUUCUAAAAAGAAUCAACUUUUCAAGUUUCAACUAUUAUGAUCUGUCAAAUUCCGACGGAAUACUUAUAACAGAUCCAGAGAAAAACUUACCAUUAAACUCCUCUUUCUGAGACACAAUCCAACGCCCAUCAAAUGUCUCAUCGAACGACUCGUAAAAUUUCUACAAUCAAACCACGAAUUCUCAGCCAACGCACCAUUAACAUGAUCCAGUAGACACAGUAUUUGCAAAAACAAACACGAUCAGACAUGCAAUUAGAGAUAUACAUCUUACCACAUCCGAAGAAGCAUAGAGUUGAGAAACGAAGCAACCGGCCAAUAAUAACAAUGCAUAUUGCGUCCACAUUCUCCGAUUCCGCUCUUCCAUAAUCAAAUAUGGAAUGUAAUACUCACUGAAAUUAAAAGAAAAAAUAGCAGAGAUCUGAGUGGGUAUAGAAGAAGAGGAGAAAACAGAGUGAAAUUUGCGGGGAGGAGAAUUUCAGAGUAUAAAUAAAUGUGGCGACCAGUUCGGGUAGUUCAUAACUCGUGAAGUGGACCAAUGAAUAUAUGCCACGUUGGUAGCCGCGACUUCAACGAACACCCGCAGGGGAAGUUGGAUCUACGACGGGUAUAGUUGUGUGUACACUUCAAUUUGGUGGCUCAAAUUUUUUUUCAUUAUUUCGAUCAACUAUAUAUAAUGUUUUAUUUUGUAAUUUCAUCGAAAGUUUAUGUCAUGAUAUUAGGAAAACAGACACAUCAUUUUCAUUUGGUUCAAAUUUCACCUUAUACAAUCAUAGAAUACAUUAUUAAAUUACAUACAUUGAUGUUUCUUUUGUAAAUAAAUGUAACAAUUUUUUCCUGAAAAAUUUAAAGUGAAGAGUCGUUUAAAACUAAUGGAUCAAUUUUACAUUCUGAAAAACAAAAAAAUUUGAGUCACAAUUUGAAAUCCUAAUAAAAUUUGAAGUUAGAAAUCAUGAUUUAAAUUUUAAGCAGAAUUGAUAAGCAAAACCUUAUGCAAACACCUAUUUAUGUUAAUAAAUAUAUAAACUACUUUUGUAAAGGCUGCUAAGUGCUAAGUUGCAACAACUGUUUUCCCCUUCAACAUUUUCUUUUAACUUGCACCUGCACAUUCCACUUCUCUCCACCUGUCAGCUAACUUUGACCCCCCCAAAUCCCAAAUGGUAUUUUCUUUAAUCUUUUGCUUUUUCUCCACAUGGAGAGUGAAUAGAUUUCUUUUGUCUUUUAAGUAAAUAAAAUCUCAUAAACAUAUGACUGAAAGAGACAACAAACAUUGUGUUUCAUGUGGUGGAUGAAUAGGACGACCCAAUAUAUAUAAACAUAAUAAUGCUAGUAGAGUGACCUUUCUAGAAUUGACUUUUCUCUAUCAUGGAGAGGAAGUCUUGGCUUCCCACUAUAAAUAUAUAUAGACUCUUGAGCCCAAAAGAAACCAUCAUCUCAACUUAAGACACAAAAAAAAUGUGGAGGAAGAAGAGAAAGAAGAGUAUGACAAAACCAAGGAUGACAAUCAACGCAAGUACCCCUCUGAUGCAUCUAAUCUAAGUGGAUGUCAAGGACUCACAGGCAAGUCAUUGAGGCAAAGGGAAGGUUAUGCCUUUCUUCCAGAUCUUUCUUUUUUCCUUUGUUGUGUUUUGGGUUAAUGUUUUUGAAGUUCCACUUUAUAUGUAAUGUAUGCUUGUUUUGGGUUGAAAUUCUCUUUUAAUACAAUGAUUCGUGUUACCCGCGUAUGCUAUCAUCCUGUUCUCCCCAAUUCCACUACUUUCUUGCCACACUUUAGUCUUCACCAGCAAAGUUAUAAAGUAUGUGUUUGAAUCUUACAAGAGAGACUCAAAGCAUGUUUACACAAUGAAACUAAGUGCCAUGUAAAUAAAAAAAAUCAGAAUAAGAUGCAGUUCUAGCAUUAAACAUCAAAACCAACACAUGAAU
rnacentral:lncRNA from 1 species